GGCUGCACCCAGGGGCAGGGAGGGAGAGAAGAGGAGGAGGGAGGUUAAACGAGGCAGGAAGACGCAGAGGGAGCGAAGGGAAGGGCGUCCGGCCUGCACCCGCUCCCUCUCUGGAGGCGGCAGGCGGCGCUGUGAGCCGAGGAAGCGGAGCCACCCCCACCGUAGCUUCCCGCUGCCCUUUGCCUCCCGGCGGCGGCGCGGAAAUCAAAUUUCGGCGCCUGGCCGGGCCCUCAGCGCCGCCGCCGCUGCCACCACCCCGGGCCGGACUCCCAACUCCAGCGGGAAGGAGGCGACAUGUCCAAGAAAAAGGGACUGAGUGUUGAAGAGAAGAGAACUCGUAUGAUGGAAAUAUUUUUUGAAACAAAAGAUGUGUUCCAGUUAAAGGAUAUGGAGAAGAUUGCUCCGAAAGAGAAAGGAAUUACUGCCAUGUCGGUAAAGGAGAUCCUGCAAAGUUUAGUUGAUGAUGGUAUGGUGGACACUGAUAGGAUUGGAACUUCCAAUUAUUUUUGGGCUUUUCCAAGUAAAGCUCUUCAUGCCAGGAAGCGUAAAUUGGAAGCACUGGAGACUCAGUUGGCUGAAAGUAGCCAGAAGAAAGAGAGGUUACAGCAAAGCAUUGAGAAAUCAAAAAUCGGACGCCAAGAGACUGCAGAACGUGCUGCCCUAACGAAAGAACUUGCUGCUCUCCGGCAGAAAAAAGAGCACCUAACAGCAGAAAUAGAGAAAUACAAAGAAUGUGAUCCAGAUGUUGUUGAAGAAAUCCAUCAACUUUACCUGAAUGAUCAGGAUAUUAGAUUUGUGACACCCCAAAAUGUAGGGAUAUGAAAGAACUUUGAGGCUCUAUGGAAGUUUCUAAAUACAGUAUAACAGAACGAAAGUCUUGAUGUUCCCCUUGACUAGUGUCAUUGCUGCAAAGUACAUGUUGGAGGGAGCAGGUAACAUCAAAUGCAGGUCAAGCAAACAAAGUUGCCAAGGAAGCAGCCAACAGAUGGACUGAUAAUAUCUUUGCAAUAAAAUCUUGGGCCAAACGGAAAUUUGGAUUUGAAGAGAACAGAA